AUCCUACGGGGGGCAGCAGUGGGGAAUAUUGCACAAUGGGGGAAACCCUGAUGCAGCGACGCCGCGUGAGUGAAGAAGUAUUUCGGUACGUAAAGCUCUAUCAGCAGGGAAGAAAAAAAGUCCUUUGGACUUUGGACGGUACCUGACUAAGAAGCCCCGGCUAACUACGUGCCAGCAGCCGCGGUAAUACGUAGGGGGCAAGCGUUAUCCGGAUUUACUGGGUGUAAAGGGAGCGUAGACGGUCCUGCAAGCCAGAUG
rnacentral:rRNA from 1 species